AGAGUUUGAUCAUGGCUCAGAUUGAACGCUGGCGGCAGGCCUAACACAUGCAAGUCGAACGGUAACAGGAAGCAGCUUGCUGCUUCGCUGACGAGUGGCGGACGGGUGAGUAAUGUCUGGGAAGCUGCCUGAUGGAGGGGGAUAACUACUGGAAACGGUAGCUAAUACCGCAUAAUGUCGCAAGACCAAAGAGGGGGACCUUCGGGCCUCUUGCCAUCGGAUGUGCCCAGAUGGGAUUAGCUUGUUGGUGGGGUAACGGCUCACCAAGGCGACGAUCCCUAGCUGGUCUGAGAGGAUGACCAGCCACACUGGAACUGAGACACGGUCCAGACUCCUACGGGAGGCAGCAGUGGGGAAUAUUGCACAAUGGGCGCAAGCCUGAUGCAGCCAUGCCGCGUGUAUGAAGAAGGCCUUCGGGUUGUAAAGUACUUUCAGCGGGGAGGAAGGGAGUAAAGUUAAUACCUUUGCUCAUUGACGUUACCCGCAGAAGAAGCACCGGCUAACUCCGUGCCAGCAGCCGCGGUAAUACGGAGGGUGCAAGCGUUAAUCGGAAUUACUGGGCGUAAAGCGCACGCAGGCGGUUUGUUAAGUCAGAUGUGAAAUCCCCGGGCUCAACCUGGGAACUGCAUCUGAUACUGGCAAGCUUGAGUCUCGUAGAGGGGGGUAGAAUUCCAGGUGUAGCGGUGAAAUGUGUAGAGAUCUGGAGGAAUACCGGUGGCGAAGGCGGCCCCCUGGACGAAGACUGACGCUCAGGUGCGAAAGCGUGGGGAGCAAACAGGAUUAGAUACCCUGGUAGUCCACGCCGUAAACGAUGUCGACUUGGAGGUUGUGCCCUUGAGGCGUGGCUUCCGGAGCUAACGCGUUAAGUCGACCGCCUGGGGAGUACGGCCGCAAGGUUAAAACUCAAAUGAAUUGACGGGGGCCCGCACAAGCGGUGGAGCAUGUGGUUUAAUUCGAUGCAACGCGAAGAACCUUACCUGGUCUUGACAUCCACGGAAGUUUUCAGAGAUGAGAAUGUGCCUUCGGGAACCGUGAGACAGGUGCUGCAUGGCUGUCGUCAGCUCGUGUUGUGAAAUGUUGGGUUAAGUCCCGCAACGAGCGCAACCCUUAUCCUUUGUUGCCAGCGGUCCGGCCGGGAACUCAAAGGAGACUGCCAGUGAUAAACUGGAGGAAGGUGGGGAUGACGUCAAGUCAUCAUGGCCCUUACGACCAGGGCUACACACGUGCUACAAUGGCGCAUACAAAGAGAAGCGACCUCGCGAGAGCAAGCGGACCUCAUAAAGUGCGUCGUAGUCCGGAUUGGAGUCUGCAACUCGACUCCAUGAAGUCGGAAUCGCUAGUAAUCGUGGAUCAGAAUGCCACGGUGAAUACGUUCCCGGGCCUUGUACACACCGCCCGUCACACCAUGGGAGUGGGUUGCAAAAGAAGUAGGUAGCUUAACCUUCGGGAGGGCGCUUACCACUUUGUGAUUCAUGACUGGGGUGAAGUCGUAACAAGGUA
rnacentral:rRNA from 1 species